AAUAACAUACAGAUACACACACACACACACACACACAGACACAAGCUUGAGAAGAACAUACAGAUACACACACACACACACACACACACACACACACACACACACACACACACACAUAGAGACACAUGCUUGAGAAGAACAGGAAGUCAACAUGGCUUACGGUACACACAGAGACACAUGCUCGAGAAGCACAUACAGAUACACACACACACACACACACACACACACACACACACACACACACACAGAGACACAUGCUUGAGAAGCACAUACAGAUACACACACACACACACACACAGAGAUACAUGCUUGAGAAGCACAUACAGAUACACACACACACACACACACACACAGAGAGACACAUGCUUGAGAUGAACAGGAAGUCAACAUGGCUUACGGUCCACACAGAGACACACACACACACACACACACACACACACACACACACACACACACACACACACACACAGAGACACAUGCUUGAGAAUCACAUACAGAUACACACACACACACACACACAGAGACACAUGCUUGAGAAUCACAUACAGAUACACACACACACACACACACACACACAGAGACACAUGCUUGAGAAACACAUACACACACACACACACACACACACACAGAGACACAUGCUUGAGAAACACAUACACACACACACACACACACACACACACACACAGAGACACAUGCUUGAGAAUCACAUACAGAUACACACACACACACACACACAGAGACACAUGCUUGAGAAGAACAUACAGAUACACACACACACACACACACACACACACACAACACACACACACACAGAGACACAUGCUUGAGAAGCACAUACAGAUACACACACACACACACAGAGUCACAUGCUUGAGAAACACAUACAGAUACACACACACACACACACACAGAGACACAUGCUUGAGAAGCACACACACACACACACACAUACACACACACACACACACACACAUAAAUAGGCUGGCCCUGCACUGAAACUCAUUUUACUGAUAGGGCUGGGGCGGGGGGGGGG
rnacentral:lncRNA from 1 species